AGGGUAGGUUCCUAUUAGAAGUUAGGAGGAAAUUCUUCACUUAGAGGAUGGUGAGGCAUCGGAACAGGUUUCACAGAGACGUUGUAGAUGCCCCAUCCCUCAAGAUGUUCAAGACCAGUUUAGAUGAUACCCU